UAAGCAUAUCAAUAAGCGGAGGAAAAGAAACCAACAGGGAUUGCCCCAGUAACGGCGAGUGAAGCGGCAAAAGCUCAAAUUUGAAAUCUGGCCCUUUCAGGGUCCGAGUUGUAAUUUGCAGAGGAUGCUUCGGGUGCGGCCCCGGCCUAAGUUCCUUGGAACAGGACGUCAUAGAGGGUGAGAAUCCCGUCUUUGGUYGUCGGCCCGCGCCCGUGUGAAGCUCCUUCGAAGAGUCGAGUUGUUUGGGAAUGCAGCUCUAAGCGGGUGGUAAAUUUCAUCUAAAGCUAAAUAUUGGCCGGAGACCGAUAGCGCACAAGUAGAGUGAUCGAAAGGUUAAAAGCACCUUGAAAAGGGAGUUAAACAGCACGUGAAAUUGUUGAAAGGGAAGCGCUUGCGGCCAGACUCGGGUGCGGGGUUCAGCGGGCSCGUGUCSCCCSUGCACUCCCCGUUUCUCGGGCCAGCAUCAGUUUSGACGGCCGGUCAAAGGCCUCUGGAAUGUGUCGUCUCUCGGGACGUCUYAUAGCCAGGGGUGCAAUGCGGCCUGUUGGGACUGAGGAACSCGCUUCGGCUCGGAUGCUGSCAUAAUGGCCGUAAGCGGCCCGUCUUGAAACACGGACCAAGGAGUCUAACAUCCACGCGAGUGUUCGGGUGUCAAACCCGUGCGCGCAGUGAAAGCGAACGGAGGUGGGAGCCUUAGGGCGCACCAUCGMCCGAUCCUGAAGUCUUCGGAUGGAUUUGAGUAGGAGCGUGGCCGUUGGGACCCGAAAGAUGGUGAACUAUGCCUGAAUAGGGUGAAGCCAGAGGAAACUCUGGUGGAGGCUCGCAGCGGUUCUGACGUGCAAAUCGAUCGUCAAAUUUGGGCAUAGGGGCGAAAGACUAAU
rnacentral:rRNA from 1 species